CGGGCAAUCACCACAGGAGCAGCCCAGUGAAGUGUCACCACAUGAAUAAACAGACACAUUCAUAAGCUCCAUUUGAGAUGACGCUGAAGGGUUCACCUUAAAAUUUAUGGCAUAAGGUGAUCCAGGAAAACCGAGGGCUACUUUCUGACCAAGAAAUGCAAAAAGUUCUUCAAAACUUUUAGCACCACCACCAACAAAAUCUAUGGCCCGUGUAUUCAUUGUACCAAAUUUAACAUCCUUGCAGGAAUCGUAAAGACCUUUUCCAAACUUCUCGGUUACGUAGUAGUCAAUGCCAUCUACAGUCAUACUUCCACCAACCUCUGCAAUGGACGUCACAUUAAUAAAUAAACUCUGCCUUGGAGAGCAGGAAAGCUCACAAAAAAGAUUUAGGAAAUUCCUCAAGCAUG
rnacentral:misc_RNA from 1 species